rnacentral:lncRNA from 1 species
AUCUGACUCACCUAGACGUGUUUGUGGAUAUUCUACUGAAAUGUACGCUGGCCAGAUGGGACUGAUAAGCAAGAUCUUGUACUAUUGUAUAGUUGAGCACCUCCUCUGAGCUUGGUCUUUGACUUCAGUGACACUAUGCAAUUUCCUGGGCAGCUUUUUCUGGCGAGGUGAGAUGUGAUGCCUUGACUUUCUUCUUUGGUAUGGGAAGAUAUGUUUUCACCUAGCAGCUCUCAGAGGGAAAAAUAGCUAGUUCAGUGAAUGUGGACAGAUGUAAAGGCAAGAAAAUUCAACUCAUUUUAUCUGAAGAAUGAUUUGCAUAGGUCAUAAUUACACGUUACCAUGGAUACCCUGCAGAGACCCUCAGACUAGUAUCACACAGUCUGUGAUACCUGCUCACUAUCCAGGCACAGCAAAGUUCUUGAUUGAUAUGACUGAAAACUACCUGCAACAAUACAACAGGAGGCAAGCAUCAGAAAACUGAAACAAAAUGAGGACAGUAGCUCUUUUAAAGAAAAAGAGAGAUGACAAGAUAAUCCAUUCUCAGAAUGAAUGCCCAGAUAUCAGCAGUAUAUUGAGAGCUGAAUAUUCAUAACCAUUUGCUUGAAGGCAAACAGACUGCAGACUUAUUAGAGAAAAUGCUUGUCAGAAAAUGGUGUGAUGUGGGUUCCUUCUUGCUAAUAGGAGGUACUUCAUGAGCAGGUACUUCACCAAUCCUGUAAUAAACAGGAUAUAUUUUUGCUCUUGUGCA